rnacentral:rRNA from 1 species
AUGCAAGUCGAACGAAGUAGCAAUACUUAGUGGCAGACGGGUGAGUAACAUGUGGGUAUCUUCCCUUUGGUGAGGAAUAACACGAGGAAACUUGUGCUAAUACCUCAUAAGUCUUUACGGAGAAAGCUUUAUGCGCCAAUGGAUGAGCCCGCACUUGAUUAGUUUGUUGGUGAGGUAAUGGCUCACCAAGACUUUGAUCAAUAGCUGAUUUGAGAGGAUGAUCAGCCACAUUGGGACUGAGACACGGCCCAAACUCCUACGGGAGGCAGCAGUAGGGAAUCUUGCACAAUGGGGGAAACCCUGAUGCAGCGAUGCCGCGUGAGUGAAGAAGGCCUUUGGGUUGUAAAGCUCUUUCGUCGGGGAAGAAAAUGACUGUACCCGAAUAAGAAGGUCCGGCUAACUUCGUGCCAGCAGCCGCGGUAAUACGAAGGGACCUAGCGUAGUUCGGAAUUACUGGGCUUAAAGAGUUCGUAGGUUGUUAAAAAAGUUGGUGGUGAAAUCCCAGAGCUUAACUCUGGAACUGCCAUCAAAACUUUUUAGCUAGAGUUUGAUAGAGGAAAGCAGAAUUUCUAGUGUAGAGGUGAAAUUCGUAGAUAUUAGAAAGAAUACCAAUUGCGAAGGCAGCUUUCUGGAUCAUUACUGACACUGAGGAACGAAAGCAUGGGUAGCGAAGAGGAUUAGAUACCCUCGUAGUCCAUGCCGUAAACGAUGUGUGUUAGACGUUGGAAAUUUAUUUUCAGUGUCGCAGCGAAAGCAAUAAACACACCGCCUGGGGAGUACGACCGCAAGGUUAAAACUCAAAUGAAUUGACGGGGACCCGCACAAGUAGUGGAGCAUGUGGUUUAAUUCGAAGAUACGCGCAGAACCUUACCAACACUUGACAUGUUCGUCGCGACUUUAAGAGAUUAAAGUUUUCGGUUCGGCCGGACGAAACACAGGUGCUGCAUGGCUGUCGUCAGCUCGUGUCGUGAGAUGUUGGGUUAAGUCCCGCAACGAGCGCAACCCUCACUUUUAGUUGCCAUCAUUUAGUUGGGCACUCUGAAAGAACUGCCAGUGAUAAGCUGGAGGAAGGUGGGGAUGACGUCAAGUCCUCAUGGCCCUUACGUGUUGGGCUACACACGUGCUACAAUGGCAUUUACAACAGGAAGCAAAACGGCGACGUUAAGCAAAUCCUAAAAAAAUGCCUCAGUUCGGAUUGUACUCUGCAACUCGAGUACAUGAAGCUGGAAUUACUAGUAAUCGCGGAUCAGCGCGCCGCGGUGAAUACGUUCCCGGGUCUUGUACGCGCCGCCCGUCACACCAUGGGAGUUGGUUCUACCUUAAGGCAAAGGUUAAAAACUUGACC